ensembl:lncRNA
AUGGACACUUUGCACCCUACCAUGUCCCAGGAUCACUUGCACUCAGAUUACAAUAUUCAAAGAACACAGCAGGGUUGCAAGUGUCCUGGGAGCUGGUGGAGCUACUCAGAGAGGACAUCAAACUCCAGAGAGAGACAAAGGAGACAAGAGCACAGGAGAGAGACAGUGCAGAGACUGUUUUCUCUUCUUGAGAGAAUACUUAAAAAAUACAUUAUUUAUUAGCCAAGAGAAAGCAGUGGAAAAAAAUUCAUUAAAAUUUUUCAAAAUCUUUUUUUUAAAUGUCACAUUGUCAAUGAAACAACCUAAUUUUUGUAGUUUAUUUUUAUGAUGUAAGUUAAAAAUGAAUCAAAUUGUAUACAUUAUUCCUUUUUGUAGUGUAAUUUAUUUGUAAAUUUGUAAAUGACCCUG